GUAUAAUGGGUCAGCGACUUAUAUUCUGUAGCAAGGUUAACCGAAUAGGGGAGCCGAAGGGAAACCGAGUCUUAACUGGGCGUUAAGUUGCAGGGUAUAGACCCGAAACCCGGUGAUCUAGCCAUGGGCAGGUUGAAGGUUGGGUAACACUAACUGGAGGACCGAACCGACUAAUGUUGAAAAAUUAGCGGAUGACUUGUGGCUGGGGGUGAAAGGCCAAUCAAACCGGGAGAUAGCUGGUUCUCCCCGAAAGCUAUUUAGGUAGCGCCUCGUGAAUUCAUCUCCGGGGGUAGAGCACUGUUUCGGCAAGGGGGUCAUCCCGACUUACCAACCCGAUGCAAACUGCGAAUACCGGAGAAUGUUAUCACGGGAGACACACGGCGGGUGCUAACGUCCGUCGUGAAGAGGGAAACAACCCAGACCGCCAGCUAAGGUCCCAAAGUCAUGGUUAAGUGGGAAACGAUGUGGGAAGGCCCAGACAGCCAGGAUGUUGGCUUAGAAGCAGCCAUCAUUUAAAGAAAGCGUAAUAGCUCACUGGUCGAGUCGGCCUGCGCGGAAGAUGUAACGGGGCUAAACCAUGCACCGAAGCUGCGGCAGCGACACUAUGUGUUGUUGGGUAGGGGAGCGUUCUGUAAGCCUGUGAAGGUGUACUGUGAGGUAUGCUGGAGGUAUCAGAAGUGCGAAUGCUGACAUAAGUAACGAUAAAGCGGGUGAAAAGCCCGCUCGCCGGAAGACCAAGGGUUCCUGUCCAACGUUAAUCGGGGCAGGGUGAGUCGACCCCUAAGGCGAGGCCGAAAGGCGUAGUCGAUGGGAAACAGGUUAAUAUUCCUGUACUUGGUGUUACUGCGAAGGGGGGACGGAGAAGGCUAUGUUGGCCGGGCGACGGUUGUCCCGGUUUAAGCGUGUAGGCUGGUUUUCCAGGCAAAUCCGGAAAAUCAAGGCUGAGGCGUGAUGACGAGGCACUACGGUGCUGAAGCAACAAAUGCCCUGCUUCCAGGAAAAGCCUCUAAGCAUCAGGUAACAUCAAAUCGUACCCCAAACCGACACAGGUGGUCAGGUAGAGAAUACCAAGGCGCUUGAGAGAACUCGGGUGAAGGAACUAGGCAAAAUGGUGCCGUAACUUCGGGAGAAGGCACGCUGAUAUGUAGGUGAAGCGACUUGCUCGUGGAGCUGAAAUCAGUCGAAGAUACCAGCUGGCUGCAACUGUUUAUUAAAAACACAGCACUGUGCAAACACGAAAGUGGACGUAUACGGUGUGACGCCUGCCCGGUGCCGGAAGGUUAAUUGAUGGGGUUAGCGGUAACGCGAAGCUCUUGAUCGAAGCCCCGGUAAACGGCGGCCGUAACUAUAACGGUCCUAAGGUAGCGAAAUUCCUUGUCGGGUAAGUUCCGACCUGCACGAAUGGCGUAAUGAUGGCCAGGCUGUCUCCACCCGAGACUCAGUGAAAUUGAACUCGCUGUGAAGAUGCAGUGUACCCGCGGCAAGACGGAAAGACCCCGUGAACCUUUACUAUAGCUUGACACUGAACAUUGAGCCUUGAUGUGUAGGAUAGGUGGGAGGCUUUGAAGUGUGGACGCCAGUCUGCAUGGAGCCGACCUUGAAAUACCACCCUUUAAUGUUUGAUGUUCUAACGUUGGCCCGUUAUCCGGGUUGCGGACAGUGUCUGGUGGGUAGUUUGACUGGGGCGGUCUCCUCCUAAAGAGUAACGGAGGAGCACGAAGGUUGGCUAAUCCUGGUCGGACAUCAGGAGGUUAGUGCAAUGGCAUAAGCCAGCUUGACUGCGAGCGUGACGGCGCGAGCAGGUGCGAAAGCAGGUCAUAGUGAUCCGGUGGUUCUGAAUGGAAGGGCCAUCGCUCAACGGAUAAAAGGUACUCCGGGGAUAACAGGCUGAUACCGCCCAAGAGUUCAUAUCGACGGCGGUGUUUGGCACCUCGAUGUCGGCUCAUCACAUCCUGGGGCUGAAGUAGGUCCCAAGGGUAUGGCUGUUCGCCAUUUAAAGUGGUACGCGAGCUGGGUUUAGAACGUCGUGAGACAGUUCGGUCCCUAUCUGCCGUGGGCGCUGGAGAACUGAGGGGGGCUGCUCCUAGUACGAGAGGACCGGAGUGGACGCAUCACUGGUGUUCGGGUUGUCAUGCCAAUGGCACUGCCCGGUAGCUAAAUGCGGAAGAGAUAAGUGCUGAAAGCAUCUAAGCACGAAACUUGCCCCGAGAUGAGUUCUCCCUGACUCCCUGAGAGUCCUGAAGGAACGUUGAAGACGACGACGUUGAUAGGCCGGGUGUGUAAGCGCAGCGAUGCGUUGAGCUAACCGGUACUAAUGAACCGUGAG
rnacentral:rRNA from 1 species